UAACCUAUCUAGCGAUAGAUAGCUGAACAAUCAGAAGUCAGCAGAAGUCAUAGUACCCUAUUUUCUCGAGAAUUAGGGGAAGGGC
rfam:Bacillus sp. SA1-12 scf7180000003480, whole genome shotgun sequence.